rnacentral:misc_RNA from 1 species
AACUUUUGGCUAUGGAUCUCUUGGCUCUCGCAUCGAUGAAGAACGCAGCGAAAUGCGAUAAGUAAUGUGAAUUGCAGAAUUCAGUGAAUCAUCAAAUCUUUGAACGCACCUUGCGCUCCUUGGUAUUCCGAGGAGCAUGCCUGUUUGAGUGUCAUUAAAUUAUCAACCUCUUCAAGAGGCUUGGAUUUGGAGUGUUGCUGGCUUAUUGUUGGCUCCUCUUAAAUAAAUUAAGCUUGUGUGUAGGCUUUGGUUUGAUAAUAUCUAUGCCAUCGCUGUAAUGCAAAACAACCUUGAAAUUUGACCUCAAAUCAGGUAGGACUACCCGCUGAACUUAAGCAUAUCAAUAAGCGGAGGCU